UAUUUCCUCCUGGAAUGAGGAAUGGAAGGGACGUUUUUGUAUGCAACGAGCUUAAGCUACAGAGGAAUAUGGAACCCCUUGUCUUGGUUGUACUCUCUUGUCUAGGCACUACUGGCUGCUUCAGCAAACUGUGGGCACCAGCAAUACUGUUCCCAGCUGCUGAUAUUCUCUGUCUUGUUAUCAUUUUUGCUAUGCUCAUGAGACUGCAUUUUACUGCAUCUUACUGCAUCAUUCAGCCACAACCACAGAUGAGCUUCUGUUAUAUAUAUUCUUCCUUUUUCAAGGUACCUGUUUCACCAGAAAAACUCUUGUCUCCUGGAUAAGUGCCACUAACAGCCUUUUACAGUCCUACCCUCUUCUGGGUGCAGCAGAGAAGUAGUUCCCUCAUAGUUCCUGCCUUCCCACUGCCCUGCCUCGCUGAGAGCUCAUUUCUGGAGUUCUCAAAUCCAGACACACAUUUGGAAGCAGGCAAGAGAGCAGCCAUGAUGUAAUCAGUGCAGAAUGAGAAGUUAUCCCACCAGGAUGAGUGAAAGCUGUAAAGUUAAUUUGCCCAAGUGAGGAAGGGGACGAAGAAGAAGAAGAAGAACUGGAGCCUUGCAUUCAGCAUUACCAGGCAUUUCCCUGCCCAUCACAUCAGGCUCACUAACAGGAGUUUGUUUUUGCAAAGGAUGUCAAAGGGAAACACCUAAAUGCUAGUAAUAGUAGUGAUAGUGAUAGUGAUAGUGAUAGUAAACCACUGCACUGUCUACCCACACCUCCCAGGCUAGUGCACCAUUUAAUCACGCACUGAACAUUGAAAAGGAAAAUUUCCAAGCAAUUGCUCUACCCUAUCCUACAAAUCCCAAGAGAGUAACAGCCCCACUGACAGCUGUGCUCAGUCACCAGCUCUACCUGCUGCAUAAUUCCAAAAUGCAAAAUUUCCUAAAUUUACCUUAAGCUGAAAUUACUAACACUGAAUGCACAGUGAUACUCAACAAAAUAUAUAGCAUGUGGAAUGAAGGUAAUUUGGAACACCGUGAUCAGCUUUCAUAUUAGAGGAAGAAUAUAAUGCUGAAACCAUCUGGCCUGCGGCUAUGAAAACACCAAAGAGACAUAAAACCGAGUUAAUGGCAGCAUGCCAAGGUCUUGUUAAAAAACAGCACAUCACUAAAACAAAGCAAGUGCUGAUGUAGCACCAGCAAAGGCUCAUUAAUGAGCCUGGAGACAGAGUGCUCUUAUAUUUCAUUACGCGCUUAACAGCCAUACCUGCCUCUGCAGAAGAAAGGGGCCGUGGAGAAGAGUGAAGGGAUGAAAACGAAAAUAGUUAUUUCUGCCAAAAGGUCACUCAUUCUGCGCAGCGUAGCAGAACCAAUUACACAACGUGUGUUUCAAACCUCUAAUUACUGUGGCUGCUUCUGCCUUGAUAUUGCUGGAGGGAAACAUCCGUGCAACGAAGCUGUGGUGUCCGUGACAGCUACAUCAUGUGCCAUGAUG